AAUGGGCUUCUGGCCGAAAGAAACGGUGGGCCUGGGGGCGAGAGCGACUACAAAAGUGUCAAAAAGCAGAACAUCAUAACCUUUUGGAUGUUUGAUGCGAUGGUAGGUGACCUAUGUUAGAAAAACCAAACAGACUAGCAGAGAUGGCUUCCUUUAAAGGAAGGCACCGAUGUCUAUAGGUCGUGCGACCUGGUGGAAGACAGUUGCGAUAUCUUGCUUCGAUAAAACCGAAAAACAUUCUAUAAAGGGAAAGACAAUCACAAACAACAAGGGAAAGUCAGGCCACAGUGUUUAUAUAUACCUUUAGUGAGGUUGGAUUUUCAUCACAGGAUCGAUCACCUUACAACUAAAGCCUCUUUCU